rnacentral:rRNA from 1 species
CUGACCUCGAAUCAGGUGGGACUACCCGCUGAACUUAAGCAUAUCAAUAAGCGGAGGAAAAGAAACUAACAAGGAUUCCCCUAGUAACGGCGAGUGAAGUGGGAUGAGCUCAAAUUUAAAAUCUGGUAGUCUUUGGCUG